rnacentral:rRNA from 1 species
CCUACGGGUGGCUGCAGUAAGGAAUAUUGGUCAAUGGACGAAAGUCUGAACCAGCUAUGCCGCGUGGAGGAUGAAGGCCCUCUGGGUUGUAAACUUCUUUUAUAUGGGACGAAAAAGGAUCUUUCUAGAUCAACUGACGGUACCAUGUGAAUAAGCACCGGCUAACUCCGUGCCAGCAGCCGCGGUAAUACGGAGGGUGCAAGCGUUAUCCGGAUUCACUGGGUUUAAAGGGUGCGUAGGUGGGUUGGUAAGUCAGUGGUGAAAUCUCCGAGCUU